rnacentral:rRNA from 1 species
CAGUAGCCACGGUAAUACGGAGGGGGCUAGCGUUGUUCGGAAUUACUGGGCGUAAAGCGCACGUAGGCGGCUCGGUAAGUUAGAGGUGAAAGCCCGGAGCUCAACUCCGGAAUUGCCCUUAAGACUGCCGAGCUAGUAGGUGAGAGAGGUAAGUGGAAUUCCGAGUGUAGAGGUGAAAUUCGUAGAUAUUCGGAAGAACACCAGUGGCGAAGGCGACUGACUGGACAAGUAUUGACGCUGAGGUGCGAAAGCGUGGGGAGCAAACAGGAUUAGAUACCCGCGUAGUCCCUGUCUCUUAUAC